GCGGGGGUGCCCGAGCUAGGACAAAGGGGGCGGACUUAGGAUCACAGAGAUAAGAGCUCCGCUGGCGUCGGCCUGCCCGGGUUCGAAUCCCGGCCCCCGCA
rnacentral:tRNA from 1 species